UACGGGGGGAGCAAGCGUUGUUCGGAUUUACUGGGCGUAAAGGGCGCGUAGGCGGCCAGCACAAGUCAGUUGUGAAAUCUCCGGGCUUAACUCGGAAAGGUCAACUGAUACUGUGCGGCUAGAGUGCAGAAGGGGCAACUGGAAUUCUCGGUGUAGCGGUGAAAUGCGCAGAUAUCAGGAGGAACACCAAUGGCGAAGGCAGCUCGCUGGGACGGUACUGACGCUGAGACGCGAAAGCGUGGGGAGCAAACAGG
rnacentral:rRNA from 1 species